UGCCAGCAGCCGCGGUAAUACGAAGGGAACUAGCGUUGCUCGGAAUCAUUGGGCGUAAAGCGCCUGUAGGCGGCCAGGCAAGUCGGAUGUGAAAGCCCGGGGCUCAACCCCGGAACUGCAUCCGAAACUGCUUGGCUUAAGUACGGGAGAGGGAAGCGGAAUUCCCAGUGUAGAGGUGAAAUUCGUUGAUAUUGGGAGGAACACCCGUGGCGAAAGCGGCUUCCUGGCCCAGUACUGACGCUGAGACGCGAAAGCGUGGGGAGCAAACAGGAUUAGAUA
rnacentral:rRNA from 1 species